GGGAGGGUCCUUCCUGCCUCUUCCAGCUUCUGGGGACACCAGGUGGCCCUGGGCUGGUGGCCGCCUCCCUCCCAUCUCUGCCUCCGUCUUCUCGUGGCGUCUCCUCUUCUGUCUCUUGGGAGGACCCUGUCCUUGCAGGGAGGGCCCCCUAAUCCAGGAUGACCUCAUCUCAGACCCUUCCCAUGGCUUCCCCACGUGUCUUCUCUGUUGUAAGGAUACUUGUUAGUAGGUUGAGGACCCCUCGUCAUCCAGGAGGACCUGGUCCCUGGCACACAGCUCCUAAACCACAGCAAGUUCGUGAUCCUUGUGAGCAGAGCAUCUUUAGUUUUUCCUGAGAAACCCAGGCUCACCUGUUCAUGCUAAUGAGGUGAGGCUGGUGCCAGAGGAACCAACCAGGGGAUGAAAGGGUUGGGUUUUUUAGCUCAACUCCAAACCUUGAGACUUGCUCAGGGGUCAACCUUUAAUCAGGCCAGCCUAGUGGACCCUCACCAAAAAAGGGGGUCCAGAGAGCUUUCAGGUUGGGGAGGCCAUGGUUGGGAGUGUUGCAGCCCCGCCAAGUCCAAGGAGAGAGAAGCUCCUGCAUGUGGGACCCACUCCCACCCUCCCCUCCCCCUCUGGCUGUUCCCCCCUUGAUGAGCAACAUGUAAGUCAGGUGUUUCCUGAGUUCUUUGGGGGGAGGACACUGGGACCCUCCAUCUGUGGGCGUGUUGGACACAAGUGUGGGGGCCUGUGUGUGCUGGUGAUGGUGGGGUUGGGGGAUCUCAUGUGGGCAUUUUGACCAACUCAGGGUGCUUUCUGAGGUAAACUGAAUUGGAGGCCACCCAGCUGGGGUCCAAAGGGAACUGGAGGAUUCCUUGGGGUGGAAAUGCCCCACAGUGGGUGUCAGAAGCAAUGUGAGCAAGAUGACAUUUUGUUUGAACAAUUAAACGUGUUUACCCUUUUCAGUCAAACACCUCCUCCUGGCAGACCCCCGAGAUCUCACCCUUUUCCCUGUAACCCAUUGUUCUCUCUGAUCAGAGUGAAUUCUCUAGAACACCAAUUAAGGCGUGUCCAUACCUGCUUAAACCUGCGGUGGUUUUCAGGGCUGUUAGAAAAGGACAAAUGGCCUCCCCUGUCAUGCUGACCGAUGCAGAGCAGCUGGUGCAGGGUGGCACGGAUUUGGAGCACGCUUGAGGGAUGGUGGCAGCGACCUCCCUCUGGUUCAUCCUGGGACAGUGUUUUGUGACUUGUGUCUGACACAGGAAAGAGGUGACAACAGUGGGGACUUGUUGUGGUGCCCAACCAUCUCAGGUUGGACUCUUUGCUUUUGCAAGGCUAAGGCUCUUAGUCCCUGCAAAUAGUUACAUGUCGCUGGUGUCUCUUGACAGGUGUGUUUCUACAAUGUAAGCUGGCAUUUGUUGAUUCUCAUGGACGUAGAGAUUGGUUGUGUUUGCUCCAUAAAUGGGUUUUGUGCGCUUGUGACAAAAAAUGAUCACAAACCCCACAGGUUACCACCACAGGAACCCACCCUCCCCCAAGCCCUGGAGACCAGAUGAUUGAGGUCAGGGUGUCCCAGGGUCUUACGCAGGCUUCCUGGAGAGAGAGGUGGAGAACCUCUCAGCUCCCUCCAUCCAACCGGGACCUGGAGGUAAGGUGUUGGGUAGAAUAAGUCACAGAAAGACACAUCCUUAUAUCAUCAUCACCCAGAUGCAGAGUCUAAAAAUAAGGCAUUCCCGUUGUGGCUCAAUGGUUGAAGACCUUGACAUAGUGUUGGUGAAGAUGCACGGUCAGUCACUGGUUUUGAUGAGGGCUUAAGGAUCCAGCAUUGCCACAAGAUGAGACAUACUUCGCAGAUGUGACUCAGGUCCUGUGUUGCCAGUGGCUGUGGUGUAGGCUGGCAGCUGCAGCUCUGAUUUGAACCCUGACCCACCACAUGCUGAUGUUGUGACCCUAAGAAGGAAGCAGAUAAGUAGAAUAAAAAAUGAAACUUGUCACGUGUGGGUGGUCCGUACCUAAUCAGUUGAGGACCUUUAGAGGGAAAAGACUGAGGUCCCCGAGGUAGGGGGAAUUCUGCCUCCAGACAGAUGUCGGCUUCAAGCUACAGCAUUGCCUGUUCCCUGGGCCUCCAGCUCGCCAGGCUGCCUGCAACCUCUGGACCUGCCAUCCUUCACAACUGCAUGAGACGAUUCCUUAAAAUGAGUCUGUGUCUCCCUCUCCUUCCACACAUUCCAUUGGUUCAGCUGCUCUGCAGGCCCUGAUACACCAUCCUCCAUCCCUCAGGGGUCUGGCAGAGGUCCCUGAGGAGUUUGGGGAUGUGUUUGCCUGAGUAAUGCUGUGGGCACCAAGCCUGAGGGAAUAGCAUGGGGUUUGAUUUUUUGAGCCUCUUUGGGAUGAAGGAAGAGCCUUUGGAUCAGCGAAUAAUGGGGCUGGGAAGAGACGUGAGCUACUUAGGGCAGCAGUAGCAGCAGGAUCUGGAGAAGGGAGAAAGAAUGGCCCCAGAGCCCCCCUGCCACAGCAGGUUUGAGGGUCCCCGCCUUGGUCAUGUGGUGCCCUGGGUCCUGGUGACCCCAGAGCAGUGAGUACACACGGGUGUGGAAGGAGGUUGGAGCUGUGCUGCAGAUCCAGCUUCUAGCCCCGGCCAGCCCGGCUGUGCAGAGCCUGGGAAGAUGGGCCUUUUUCUUGUUUGACGACAUAUUCCAUUAUGUUUAUUGUAAACUAUGGGCUCUAUUUCCUGUGCUGUACAGGAUCCCCUUGCAGCUUGUAUAUUUUCUACACAGUCGUUUGUGUAUCUCUUACUCCCUUCCCCCUAUGCUCCCCCCCAGAUGGUUCACCCCAAGUUUUCUGUAUCUGAGAGUCUGGUACUUCUGUUAUACUCACUCGUCUGCUGUACAUUUUACAUUCCAUAUUUGAGUGCUGUGAAUACAGUAUUGGUCUUUCUCUGGCUGACUCUUGUCACUUAACAUAAUGCCCUGCACGUCCAUCCCUGUUGCUGCAAGUGGCAGAGUUUCACUCUUUGUCUUGGCUGAGUGGGAUUCCACUGUGCAUAUGCACCACAUCUUCUCAUCCAGUCCCCUGUGGUUGGACAUUUAGGUUGUUUCCGGGCCUUGGCUCUUGGGAAUACUUCUGCCAUGAACAUGGGGGUGCAUGGAUCUUUUGGAUUUAGACUGUGUGAAUUUUCGGGAUGUGUGUCCAGGAGUGGGGUCACGGGACCAUAUGGUCGGUUUUCUCUUCCUUGGUUGAAUUCACGGUAGAGCUUUCAAAAGUGUAGCACAUCUUCUCCAGGUUCGAAUGUUAGGACCCGGAGACUCUGAGGUUGGGCAUUUCACCCAGUAGCAUAUUUGUCUGUCUCUCUGCUUUUCUCUGUCUGAUGCCAAAGAGUAGGGAUGAGACUUUGUGAAGAACCCGGACAAUGUACCUGACCUGUGCUUGACUCAGUGUCUGCUUCCUGAGGGCCUGGGCCUCAGGCCUGUGGCCCCACUGGGAAAAGCACAGGCCUCUCUGUGUCUCCCAUGUCUUGUGUUCAGGGAGUACGCUUCAGCCUCCAGGCCCUUCCCUGAACCCUGAAGGACAGGUGCCCACAGGUGCUGAUGAGGGGAGAGAGGGGAUGCAGAAACCAGGGAGGGGCUGGCAGGGGACCUCAGUGCCGCCUGGGGGGCAGGUCCUGGUUCCCCCUCAAGGGAUACACAGAGAACAAAGCCUUUGAGCUCUUGUGCAGAACUAAACCCCCAGCCAAUGACAGCCAGAGAGGAGGACCCCCAGGAACUGUCCCGGGGCCCCUGAAACACCAGCUCUGAAGAAAAAUGCAAACUUGCACCCACCCUGAACCUUACUUGUGGCCCUACUUAAUACUCCCAAACUGUAAAACCACCACCUCAUCUCUCCCAAAGAGGGCCAGUCUUUAGGGCAGCAGCCUGCUGUGACCCCCUUUGCCUGGCAAAGCAAUUUAAGGCAUUUCUUCCUCCUUCCCCCAAAAAUCCAUCUCCAAGAUAAACAGUGGCUGAGUUUUGGCAGCAUCCUUACAGAACAAUCUAGAUGGACAUGAGCCUUAGCCUUGGGGUUUCUUUCUCCCAGAAACCUCCCUCUUGCUGCUUGUGGCCACAGCUCAGGGCCUCCUACUCGCCCAUCUCUCUCUCACCCAGAGUUCAUCUCAUGAGAUGUCUUCUUUCCCCUGCAGGUGCACUGUCUCUGGGUUCUGACAUGGACACUUUUUCCUCCCCGCUUUGUGAUUUGUACUUAGGGUUGUUGCCCCAAAGACAGGGACAAGGAUACAAUAAUAAGCCAGAAAAUUGUCUUCCAUUUCUAUAGUUCUUCCUGGCUAAUUGGAUGGAAAUGCAGAAGCUCUUAAUUUUCUAAGAGUGCGUCCAGAAG
rnacentral:lncRNA from 1 species